rnacentral:lncRNA from 1 species
AUGAACUUCCCCCCUGAUCUUCUAGUUGCAAUAGUUGCCCCUGUAUCAAAGUGUUUGUACAACAAGACACAAUAGUAUUUGCAAAUAUCUGAUCCAAUAUAUUUUGGUCAUGAACUUCAUCCCUCAUCUUCUAGUUGCAAUAGUUGCCCCAUGUACCAAAGUGUUUUUAUGCCAGGACUUGAUUCUUGCCCCCAGUGAUUGCAUCUUGUAGUUGCAAAUAUUUGCCCCCUGUAACCUAUAGAACUAGAGUAUCUUGUCUACUAUCUUGC